rnacentral:rRNA from 1 species
UACAGAGGUCCCAAGCGUUGUUCGGAUUCACUGGGCGUAAAGGGUGCGUAGGUGGCGGGGUAAGUCGGAUGUGAAAUCUCGGAGCUCAACUCCGAAACUGCAUUGGAAACUACCCUGAUAGAGGGUCGGAGGGGGGACUGGAAUUCUCGGUGUAGCAGUGAAAUGCGUAGAUAUCGAGAGGAACACCAGUGGCGAAGGCGAGUCCCUGGACGACUCCUGACACUGAGGCACGAAAGCUAGGGGAGCAAACAGG